rnacentral:rRNA from 1 species
UACGUAGGGGGCAAGCGUUGUCCGGAUUUAUUGGGCGUAAAGAGCGUGUAGGCGGCCUGAAAGGUCAGCUGUGAAAACUCGAGGCUCAACCUCGAGACGUCGGUUGAAACCAUCUGGCUAGAGUCCGGAAGAGGAGAGUGGAAUUCCCGGUGUAGCGGUGAAAUGCGCAGAUAUCGGGAAGAACACCCGUGGCGAAGGCGGCUCUCUGGGACGGUACUGACGCUGAGACGCGAAAGCGUGGGGAGCAAACGGG